rnacentral:rRNA from 1 species
UACGUAGGGUGCAAGCGUUGUCCGGAAUUAUUGGGCGUAAAGAGCUCGUAGGCGGUCUGUCGCGUCUGGUGUGAAAACUUGAGGCUCAACCUUAAGCCUGCAUCGGGUACGGGCAGACUAGAGUACUGUAGGGGAGACUGGAAUUCCUGGUGUAGCGGUGGAAUGCGCAGAUAUCAGGAGGAACACCGAUGGCGAAGGCAGGUCUCUGGGCAGUUACUGACGCUGAGGAGCGAAAGCAUGGGGAGCGAACAGGAUUAGAUACCCCGGUAGU